ACAAUAUAUCUUCAAAAUACACGAAUUAAGAUACAAUAAAUCUUAACCGACAUUAUAACCCAAAAAAAUAAGGGGUAGAGAGUUCCAAGUCAUUCUUCUUGGAUUUAAUCAAUGACCAAGAUAAGAAUUUUACCAUAUCGAUGAUUGUUCCUUCAUUAAUUUCAUGCCGUCAAAAAAACGAAUUACUUAUGAAUCUCUAGACCAAAUGCAAGAUAAUCAAAUGGAUUUGAUGCAUUCAUGCAUUUGUCUACCACUUGAUGCCAAACUGAGAAAUUUAUUCGCAUGUACCAAGCUAUUAUUUGAUAAAAACACCACAAACCCAACUACUUUCGUCCAAACCUUCCAAAAAAAAAAAAUGUUGUGCACUCCCAUUUUUUAUUUUAUUUGUUGAGACGGUGAUUUGAAUGUGCGCUCCCAUUUUAAUACACAUUCGUUGACACAAACAAUACUCCUAUUGAUUAAAACCACCCCUUGUUGCUAAUCAAUCAUUGUGAAGCCUCUACUCAAGUAAAGAGACUGUUUGAUGCACCAAUUUGUUCCAUGAAACAUUGCUUAUCGGAGGAUUAUCAAUGUUGUGCUUCUUUGACAAAGUAUCCUUCACCUGGAUUUUGAUUCUAAACCCAAGCAUAUUUUAUUUAUUAUUUUUAACAUUUUAAUGCAUAGAGAUGGUAGCCAAAAAAUCUAUACAUUCUCCCACUAAAUAUAUCCACCCAAAGGAAAAUAUUUGUAUUCAGCUUCCAGUCCAUUUCAUAUAAACCUCCACUCACAUUCAACAUAUCUUCCACAAACACCUGUUUAUUAAUUGAUGGAUAUAAAUCAUUUCGACACACUCACACAGCUUAAAG
rnacentral:lncRNA from 1 species